rnacentral:misc_RNA from 1 species
AAGAGUGAUUGUGUGGGUCUGCUCGGUAUUCAUUCCCGUUUCUGGGCUAUUACGGUGAUGGUGGCUUGUACCUUGUGGGAGGGAGAGGUUUUGCAUGCUAUAUUGUUGGUGGUUUCCUAUUUGCUUUGCCCACAGAAAUAAUGCGAGGCCAUUUCUCCGACGACGACGAGGACGAGGACGACGACGAUGAUGGACCUCCUCCGGAAAUGUUGGGCUGGCUGUUACCUGCUAAAAAAUUAACUAGGUAAAAAGGAAAGAAAGAAGGAAUUCAUUUGGGCUCCUUGCGAACAAGAAACAGGUCCAUGAAUGCUAACGACGUCCUUCAAUCUAAAGACCUUCAACGACGUCGAUUUAU